CUUUCUGUGGCCUGGCACUCCUGAAGGUUGCACCACAUCGCGGCUGGCUGCUUUGAGGGCCCUCUUUCUCUGACCCUUUGCGGUUCUGCUCCUGGAGUUCAGCUGCAAAGAAGACAGGGUGCAUGUGGGAUCCUGAGCCUCUACCAGUCAUUUUAAUUCUGUUUUCAUCACCUAUCAUUGGGUGACCUCUGGGUUCUGGCAACUCUUACUUUUAUUACAGUUACACCAGUCAUUCUCUCUCAGAGAAGAAUUGUAGAACAAGCCAGGAGUAUUGGUGCAUGCAUAUAAUCGCACCUCUUGGGGAGCCUGGCUCCGAGCCCAUGGUAAUCCCAGUAGCAGCCUGUCUUGGGCAGCAUGGCUCUGACUGCCAGGAAGCCCUUUCAGAUGGUGACCCACUAUCUUCAGCCUUUAUCCACUCAUCUCAUUUUUCUUCCCUGUGGAAGAGGCAACAGUAUCAUUCCAUGUGCUCCCUGUCACGCAAAUCCCAAAUCUUCGCUUCAUCCAGAGAAGGUGCACAAUUAGUGUCAAGUCAGCAACACCCCUUCUGUGUGGCCUAACCAUGUCACCAACAUCUGCAGGUACCCAGUUGGCUGAUAAAUGAGCCCAAGCCGUUGUUUUCAAACCCAAGCCCUCUGAUCUUCACGAGUGAAAAUUUCCAGCUGGAGUCCCUGGUGGGACAUCCCUCUGGGGUCCAUGCCUGGCUGUAGAGAGAAAGGAUGUCACAGAAGUUUCUGGGAGUUUUGAUUGCACAAGGAAAUGGGGUUCCACUUCUCUUUCAUGGAGAUAGCACUUAGCACCAACAUUCUGGCUUUGUCUUUGUUAUGUCCCCAGAAUGGCACCCAGCAAGCAUCAUGAUUCCUUCGUGCACAUUGGAAAACAGUCUCUGAGAGAGUAUUAAUGAGGUGACCGAGAGCUCUGAAGUCUGACGUACAGGAGCAAGAAUUCUCUAAGAAGGUGGCCAGCAACCUGGCCCCAUGGAGGGAAUGUGGGUUUAGAGACACAGUGGCCUGGCUUCAAGUCUUUGCUCCCCCAUAACUAGCUGUGUGACCCAAAGCAAAUGUUUAAUUUCCCAGAGCCCUGAUUUCUGCUGUUAGACAAUAAGAACAGGGGCACUUGCCUGGCAGGACAGUUCUGGGUGUUGAAUGAGACCGUCUGUAUGGAGCCUUCAGAACACUGUGCUUGGCAUAUAAAAGAAGCUAUCUCGGAUAGCAUGUUCAUGGUUUCAGCUGGGCUGCCACCUGGUGUGGUGGCACAUACCUGUAAUCCCAGCUACUCAGGAGGCUGAGGCAGGAGUAUUGUGAAUUCAAGGCCAUCCUGAGCAACUUAAUGAGAGACUCUAUUCUCAAAAUUAAAAGAGCUGGGGAUGUAGCUCAGAGUUAGAGUACCAGGCCCUGGGUUUAAUGCCUAGUAAGAGAAAAGCAACAACAACAACAACAAAAGAAAAGUUCUGGGCUACAAAUCCUCAGGCCUUAUUCUGGUGGAACCCUAAAACUGUUGAUCUUUAUGAAAAAAAUGAUAGAUGCUUAGAGCUAAAGGGCCUAGGAGUGUAUGCACAGACUCUUGAGAUUAUAUAAUCUUAGUAUGAUGGACUCGGGAUCUUUCCAAUUAAAAUAAUUUUCUACAACUUACUGAGUAUGUAUGUAUUAGCUCCAGAUGAAACAUAUAUGAACACUAUAUCACUUAAUCUUUAAAGCCAUGCUAUCAUUUUGAGAUUAUUGUUAGACCAUUUACUCCUAAGUAAUGGAGUUGUAGAGACUCAACCUUGUUAAAUUUUGCCAGUGAGCAGAGAGUCUGAAUUUGUUUGCUCAGAUUUGGGAGCGAGUUCCACACUCUGUGAACCAGGACCUGAGUCCCAGAUUGCUGGACUGAAAUGAGAACCUCUGGCUUUCAGAGAGGGCUGUGAGGUCUGGGAAAGGCUUGGGAAAGCACUGAGGUCACCUUUGUCACAUACAGAUGGGGACACUGAGCUCAGAGACGGAGGGGACCCGGCCACCAGGCACAUAGAAUAAAGAGCUGAGCUUGGAGCUCGGCCUCUGGACACUGGAUCCCAGGGCUCCUACCCUUCCCCUGCUGUCAGCAGGUCCCUCCCACAACAGCCACAGCCAAGGGUCUCCGGAUGUCCCAAGAUGGAGGGAGACGUCCAUACCUGAAAUGACGCAGAUGAGCAGGAAACAGGCCGGGCAGCGGAUGGCCCUGGAGUCCAUGGUGCUGAAGCCUGGAGCGGAGAUGCAGGAAAGACAAGCAAGCCGUAACUCUUAUGGAAGAAGCCAGGCACUGAGAGAAGCUGUAAGGGGCGCUGCUGCGGAGAAAAGCGUCUCCCGGGUUGUACUGGAAGAGUAUUUUGGGGGUGCCAGACAUAGGGCGCUCAGAGGACCCUCUGAGACGGAAUACUACCUCGCUCAGACGGAGCCCAGGCAGAGCCGGAAGCUGCCAGCAGGUGGCAGGAUCCGACCGUUUCCAGCUUCUGGGGCAGCUUGAAUUCUCUCCUCCCUGUAAUCAGCUGAAAUCAAGGCCCAGAAAGGAGGUGAGGAAGUCCGGGGUCCCAGUCCACGGGCCUGCCCUAAUCCCGGCGUCGUGGCACUUCCCAGUCCUCCUCUCGGGCCUGGACGGCGCUGCAAGCCCUGGAGGCAGGGGCCGUCCUCUUCCUCCCCGGUUUGUUCCCGAGACAGCUCUGUGACACCUGCUUACUCCUCCUCUGAGCCCCGCCUCCUCCGAGCUUCAGACCAUUUCCUCUGGACGGUUUCUCAGAGGUGAGGCCGCGCCGAGGAGCAGACCCUUCCCCUCCCUCCCCUGAGCUUCCUGCAGCCCAGGAAGCAAGGCCGGGCUCUCCUGCAGGGAACUGGGCUUCGCAUUCUGCCCUGCCACUCUGGCUGGCUCUCUCGGAAUUUCAC
ensembl:lncRNA